rnacentral:lncRNA from 1 species
CCUUUGGAUCAACAAUCAUCCACCAAUUCAAGAUCAAGCCCCGACGGCCCUUGAAGAAAGUGUUCUUCGUUCUUCGUUCAUCGUUCUUCCAAGAUCAAGCCCCAACGGCCCUUUAGAUCAACAAUCAUCCACCAAUUCAAGAUCUAGCCCCGACGGCCCUUGAAGAAAGUGUUCUUCGUUCUUCGUUCAUCGUUCUUCCAAGAUCAAGCCCCGACGGCCCUUGGAUCAACAAGCCACCGUUCUUCAAGAUCAAGCCCAAAAGCCUUUGAAGAUCCAAUCAUCACUGUUCUUCAAGAUCAAGCCCAAAAGCCCUUGAAGAUCCGCUCAUCACCGUUAUUCAAGAUUAAGCCUCAACGGCCCUUGAAGAAACACUCAUCCUCAAGAUCAAGCCCCAACGGCUCCUUGAAGAUUCACUCAAAUCCACCUUCAAAGAUCAAGCCCACGGCCCUUGAAGAAACUUCCAAUAGUUCAUCCAAAAUCAAGCCUCGACGGCCCUUGGAUCAACGAAACAUCCACAAAUCAACACCUUACGGAGAUUGAAUCAGAGGAUCAAAAUAGAGAGAGAUUGUAACCCUAAAUCAUCAAAAAUACAAAAUAUUAUUUUGUGCACGUUGUUCUUGUCUCUUUCGUUUCAGGAAAAUUUCGUGUUCACAAAUUUGGCACACCCAGUGGGACAAUCUCUACCUCUCAUCUCUUUCUCCGUUCAAGGAAUCCAAACACACCUCAAAGUCAAUGGCAUCAAGCAAGGGACAAGCUGUUCUCGCAACCACUAAGGGAAGGAUCCUAAGCACUUUUGCCGCAAACAGACAAUCCAUUGGCGCCACAACCGCUCCUCAACAUGCCACUUCAAAGUUUGUGCCGCUAAAAGAGCAAGGGGAGCAUCAAAGGUGUGAGUCUGUCAUUAACCUGACCUCGCUGGGGGCACCGAAGCAUGCUGCUGAGGCACACAAGAUGACAUCCCAAAAUAGCCAACGACAUUCUUCGUCAGCAUCUUGGAUGUCUAAAGGAAAGUCACGUCUAUUGGUUGCACAAGUCAUGACCAUCGGCGUUACCUCCAUCGAAGAACAACUGGCUCAGAUGAAUGAAGCAAUUGCAAGGUUAACCCGAACUGUGGAAGAAAAAGACUUACAAAUUGCAGCACUUGUCAACUGACUGGAGGCGCAGGAUGGCGAGAAACCCAAACCAGAAGAUGAUCCACUACAGAGAAGAGAUAACGAAGAAGAUGAGCCUCAGGUGGAGGAAAACGAUGUGAAGCCGGAGCCAGACCAAGCAGUGGCACGCAUGGGAUCUCUUUCUAUCCAGCAGCUGCAGGAGAUGAUCACCAGCACCAUCAAGGCGCAGUACGAAGGGAGCUCAAAUACCUCCGGGUUGUACUCGAAGCCAUAUUCAAAGAAGAUUGACGCCUUAAGGAUGCCGAGGGGUUAUCAACCGCCAAAGUUCAUGCAAUUCGAUGGAAAGGGAAACCCGAAACAGCACGUUGCCCAUUUUGUUGAAACUUGCAACAACGCAGGGACCGAAGGGGACUACCUCGUCAAGCAGUUUGUGCGCUCGCUGAAAGGAAACGCCUUUGAGUGGUACACAGACCUAAAGCCUGAGUCCAUCAACAGCUGGGAGCAAUUGGAGCGGGAAUUCCUCAACCGCUUCUACAGCACCCGCCGCACUGUGAGCAUGCUAGAACUGACGAGCACAAAGUAGUGGAAGGACGAGCCAGUCAUUGACUACAUUAACAGAUGGCACACUCUAAGCCUCGAUUGUAAAGACAGGCUCUCGGAAACCUCUUCAAUCGAGAUGUGCAUCCAAGGCAUGCAAUGGGGUUUGCAAUACAUCCUUCAAGGCAUUAAACCACGGACCUUCGAGGAAUUGGCCACUCACGCCCAUGACAUGGAGUUAAGCAUCGCCCAUCAUGGGAAGAAGGGACCGAUCGCCGACUACAAGAACGACAAAGUUCUUGAGACAAAGGUGGAGAAGGCUACGUGGAAAUCCACCAAGGAAACAAUGACGGUCAACACAGCUCCAGUCAAAAUCCCUACACGAGGCCAGGCGAUUCAAGCUGAAGCUUUUCGUGAUCAAAAGAUGCGUAGACACACUUUGAAGGAGCUUGAAGAGAAAACUUAUCCAUUCCCCGACUCUAAUGUGGUUGCCAUGUUAGAAGACUUGCUGGAAAAGAAGGUGAUCGAUUUGCCUAAAUGCAGACGGCCAGAAGAGAUGAAUCGCACCGACAGUCUAAGGUACUGUAAAUUCCACCGCUUCAUCAGUCAUCCAACGGAAAAAUGCUUCGUACUAAAAGAUCUCAUCCUGAAGCUAGCACAACAAGGUAAAAUCGAGCUUGACCUCGAAGACACAGUUGCGGUACACACUACUACUAUCGUGUUUGGAUCACUCGAUCAUGUGCCUCUCCGAAGCAUGCAUGACCAUUCCCGUCAAUGUUCAAGUCACACGGCACUUCCUACACAACCAUCACCGGGGGCAAGCAACCAAGAUGCAUCUACCGGUAAUAAGGAAGGGUGGACAUCGGCGACCCACAAAAAAACAAGGAAGCCAAGACCACAAGCCACAAGGCCAAAAGAGGAGCCUAAACCCGCCCCUCGAACUUUAGUCUUCGACAGGCUGGACCAUUCAAAACCUAGAAUUUCGGCACUUGAUCGCAUCAGUGGUCGAGACCGAACUUCUAUCUUCAAAAGGCUUAAGACGCCAACACCGCAAAGAUCUGUCUUUGAAAGGUUAUCAAAACCCAAGAAACAAAGCGGCAAAGCUAGAUCUCCCCCGCAACAGUCGGCUGCGGACAGACUUGAAGAAACUAACAAGUCUUCUAGAAACAGGAAGACAACACCAAAUAGAGAAAAGCUUGACAGUCUAGCAGGAAAAGACGAUGUUCAAAGCUUGAUUCCUUCAAGGAUGAAGCGCCAAGCAACUUUGGAAGUUGACACAAAAAGACCACUGAAGGUAAGGAGGCGCACCAUCAUCUACACCGGCCAAUCUUCACGCCAACAAACCCAAGAGGAUCGCACUGAAGAAAAGGCCCAAGAAGACAAAGAAGAUAAAAUCCCUGAAGAAAACCUCACUUCCGGCUCUGUCAACUCAAAAUCUUCACCUCAAUCACUGGUGGUAUGCUCCAAAACCAUGCCAGUCAAGCCAAGCGAAGUUGAAGGAUGGAUUCAUGUCACUCCGAAGAAACUACACAAGAAGCAUAUGUCUUCUCCACAAGUGCACCAAUUAGAAAGGGGGCAAAGCAGCUUUUGUCAACCUCCAGAACAAUGUGAAAGUGUUGGAGAUAAUGAAACUUUGACACAAAGAUCAUCCAUCCCCAUCACAAUGUGUGACAUCUUCCCAGAAGACUUCUUUAGCUACUCAGUCAAGGCUCCUUGCUAUGAAGAUUGCGAGGAACAACUCUCCCGGAUUGCUUGACAAAAUUCACAAAUUCUCCUUGCCUGCACGAGUUGAAACUGCAAAUGGCACCAAAGCUCCUGGUCUGCACGAGCAUAAAAGGCAACACCAAUGCUCCUUGUUUGCACGAGCCUAAACUGCACGAACCAAAGCCCCUUGUCCGCACGAGCCUAAACUGUAGGACACGAGGCUACUCGCCUGCAUGAGCCUAAACUGCAUGGCACAAAGCUCCUGGUCUGCACGAGCAUAAAAGGCGACACCAACGCUCCUUAUUCGCACGAGCCUAAACUGCACGAACCAAUGCUCCUUGUUCGAACGAGCCUAAACUGCACGAACCAAUGCUCCUUGCCCGCACGAGUCUAAACUGCAUGGCACAAAGCUCCUGGUCUGCACGAGCAUAAAAAGCGACAUCAACGCUCCUGGUCCGCACGAGCAUAAAAGGCAACACCAAUGCUCUUUGUUUGCACGAGCCUAAACUGCAUGAACCAAAGCUCCUGGCCCGCAAGAGCAUAAACUGUGUACCGCAAAAUCAUCAUCAAAAUCACCGUUAAAUUCAUCACUCAUUUGAACUACGUUUUGACUUGAUCUCUUUCUUUGGAAUGGUACGAAGGCAGCUUGAGCAUUCAAUUUCGAGUUCAGUCACAUCAAAAUAAAAAUAAAAGGGUUUUAUUAAAGACUUACUAAUAAAAGUCUAUUUUAUUACAAAUGAAAAAUAUUAUUUUAUACAAAAAAAUAUAUAUAUAAAAAAUAAUAAUAAAUACAAUUUCUUCAAAAAAAAAACAAAAGAAAAAAAGAAAUAUAUAUGUGUGUGUCUAGGUCGAACAGCAACAAAAGAAGGCAGAAAGCGCCAUGGACUCCAAAGCAACACCAGGCCCAAGCCUGCAUCAAGUCCAACGUCCAGGCCCGGCUCUCAAAGCCCAAUCCAUGUCUUCUUCCAGGCACACAUCUUAGCAGCUGAGGCACACAGCCCAAAUGCUAGGCCCACCCCACGCUAUGCGCAUGCCCCUCGACUCUUCACUUUUAUCAACCUAGCCUCCAAAGGUCUCUCCGACUAUCUCCAUUCAAAUCUCAACUCUCUCUCAUCUGCAACCGGAAUCUUCACUUUCUCUCUCGAAGUCUCUACCCAAACCAAACUUAUCUAUCUCCAUUCUUGAGCUUUCCUCGCCCGCACUCCGCCCUCACCAAUCAGACGCCCCCAAUUUUCACCGGAAAUAGCCUUGACUCGGUUAGCCAGCGCCCUCGUCCUCCUGUUCCUCACCUCCGUCUCGGCUUCUGCAGCCGGUAGCCGGGACCUUAACGGAGACGUUUUGCGAUUACCUUCGGAAGCUUCCAGAUUCUUUGGGAGAGGCGAUAACGCUCCCGAUCAUUGACGACGGCACCGUCGGGACCAGAUGGGCUGUUCUGAUAGCGGUUCCAAUGGAUACUGGAAUUACAGACAUCAGGCUGAUAUUUGUCAUGCAUAUCAACUACUGAAGAAAUGAGGGUUGAAAGAUGAAAACAUCGUUGUAUUCAUGUACGAUGAUAUUGCUUACAAUGAAGAGAACCCUAGGCAAGGAGUCAUCGCUAACAGCCCGUAUGGGAGUGACGUUUACAAAGGAGUUCCAAAGGAUUAAACUGGGCAAGAUGUUACUGUGAACAACUUUUUUGCUGCUAUCCUUGGGAACAAAUCUGCUCUUACAGGGGAAGUGGGAAGGUUGUGGAUAGCGGUCCAAAUGAUCAUAUUUUCAUAUACUAUUCCGAUCAUGGUGGUCCUGGAGUUCUUGGGAUGCCGGCGACCAGUCCUUAUAUUUAUGCUAACGAUCUGAUAGAAGUCCUGAAGAAGAAGCAUGCUGCAGGAACCUAUAAAAGCAUGGUAUUUUAUCUCGAAGCUUGUGAAUCUGGAAGCAUCUUCGAGGGCCUUAUUCCUGAAGGUUUGAAUAUCUUUGCAACCACUGCAUCAAAUGUAGAAGAGAGCAGUUGGGGGACGUACUGCCCUGGAAAGUAUCCCAGUCCUCCUCCAGAAUAUGAAACCUGCUUGGAUGACUUGUAUAGUGUUACGUGGAUGGAAGACAGCAACAUACACAACUUGAAGUCAGAAACCUUGCACCAGCAGCAUGAAUUGGUUAAAACAAGGACAACAAAUGACAAUUCUGGCUUUGGUUCUCAUGUCAUGCAAUACGGCGAUGUAGGGCUCAGCAAGAACAACCUCUUUGUGUACAUGGGGAUAAAUCCUGCAAACGAGAACUUUACUUUUCUGGGCCAGAACUCCUUGAGGCCAUCUUCAAAAGCUGUCAACCAGCGCGAUGCUGAUCUUGUUAAUUUUUGGCAUAAGUAUAGCAAGGCCUCUGCAGAAAGCACCAGGAUCUGCAGCAGAAACGAUGAGUUGGUCUCAGACUGUUGCUCAGAUCUUCCAGCCUUCUCUCUGUCUGAGACAUAGUCGACAACCUCGACCACAUAGCCACCGUCCUAUUCUCGAGGCUCGUGACGUACGAGGAAAUCACGGCGGUGAAUAAGAUAUCCAACCCCAGUCUGAUUCGGAUCGGGCAGAAGCUGUGGAUUCCACUGCCGUGUAGCUGCGAUGAAGUGGACGGUGAGAGGGGGGUCCAUUACGGACACGUGGUGGUGGCUGGGAGCUCGGUGGAGGCGAUUGCGACGGAGUACGGGACGACCCAAGAGACUCUGCCGAUGAUCAAUGGGAUAUCGAAUCCGAAGACCCUUCAGGAAAAUCAAGUCCUCGAUGUUCCUCUCAAAGCUUGUUCGUCUCCCAUAUCCAAUGAAUCAUCCACUUCCACUGGAGGUUAAAACAGCUGAUAAAAAAGCAGCGGCUCCGACGAAGCCUAAAGUUGCAGCGAAGGAACAAGUGUUGAGGCUAUGAACACUUGGUGGUUUUUUUUUCUUUGACGGCAGCGACGUCCUUCUCCGUGACGAAGUUGAGGCUAUGAAUAGAAGAUCGAACCGUCGGUGACAACCGCAGCAGCGACGGUUGGGUCCUCGUGACCGCAACAGCGACGACUAGGUCCUUGUGAGGUUCGCUUGGCGACGUCCUCCUCUGUUCUCCUCACCAUUGCGCCGCUGCCGACAACUCCAGCUCUGCCAUGAACAGUAACCAUCGUCACAACAGCUACGGUAGUCACGAACAGGACUCUUCAUCACCAUCUCUGCAGCUCUCCCUUUCUGCCCAUCAGUUCCAAGCAACAACGGCGACGGCAAAGUCUCCAACAUCAAGGCUGCACCGCUCUUCUCUUGCAUCCUCCUCCGUCUUUUGCCUCGCAGCUGCCAAACAACUUCAAAGACCGCUGUCAAACGACUAGCCGGCCGAGAAGCUCUUCCUCAAACUCGAGCUCUAAGUUCGUCUUCAUUCUUCCUGCAAAUUCCUCUGCCCAUCACCCAAAUUUAUACAAAAAAAAAAUUAAAAAAAAAAAGGAGGUGGUAGUGCAUCUGGCACCACGUGAAAAAAAAAGGGAGGUGGUAUUGCAUCUGGCACCACGCGAAAAAAAGGAAUGGUGGAUCAGCACCAUGUGAAAAAAAAAUUAUAAUAAUAAUAAUAAUAAUGAUAAUAAUAAUAAUAAAUAAAUAAUAAAAUAAUAAUAAAAUAAAAAAAGAGAAGGUGGAUUCUUGGUGGCUAGCACCAUGCAAAAGUAGGGGAAAGGGUUUUGGAAUGGUGAAUCAGUCCACGUGAAAAAAAAAUACACAUACAUAUAUAUAUAUAUAUACACACAUAAUAUAUGUAUGUAUAUAGCAAACAAAUAAAAAAAAAUGCAUGGAGAGAAAUAAAGUCCAUUUUAUUUAUUUUUUCUGGAAAUUUUACAUGAAUUUGCAUUAUGCAUACCAAAAAAAAAAAAAUCAAAUCAAAUCAAAUCAAAAUUACAAGAGGGGAUCUUCAAGGACGACCAGGUGGCGUUUCACCACUCGGCGAAGCUCUAGGAAGAAGAGGCGCCAGAGGUUGGCUGUUUGGCACCUCAUCACUCGACGGAACCCCAGGAGGAGGAGGCACCGAAGGUUGAUCAUUUGGAGCUUCAUUACGCGGUACAGCCCCAGAAGACCAAGGCAAAUGCUGUUGGAACAAACCCACAAACCUCUGAUGAUCAAGUAAAAUCUGACCGUCAGAUUCCUGCAUCUGGUUAAUCUUCCUCUUCAUGUUUGUAGCAUAGUUAUGUGCAAGCUUGUGCAACUGUUUAUUCUCAUGCUUGAGCCCUCUAAACUUCAGCCGCCAAGGAUUCAACUUGACGGGUUUGAGCAAAUAGGCGCUGGGCCAUAUUAGACACAGAACCUGCACACUGCACACUGAGAGCCAGAGAAUCCUUAACAGCCAACUCAUCAGACCGUUUGGAAAGCAGUCUGUUAUCUUUGGGAGUGACAAGGUUCCGGGCCACCACCGCAGCGGUCAUAUCAUUCGUCAUCACCGAGUCCCCGACGGUAAGAGGACCAGUAGGGGAUAUGAAGGAUGGGCGCCAUAUGUUGUCUGGAGAAGGCGGGACUGCCUCUUCACCAAGAUUCAAGUCAAAACAACGGUCGGAGGGUCCAGACAUUUUCAAAGUGUUGAAGAAGUGCAAGAAGGGAGUCUCUAUAAGCAAAAAAAAAAAUUCAAAUGUGCUUUGAAACGAACUGCAUGCCUCUAUAAAAAAUCAGCACUCGACGUGAUUUCAGAGAUCGAAGAGACGAGCUCAGAAUUCGAAGAGGCCAAUUCAAAAAUCAAAGAGGCAAGCUCAGAAAUCGGAGAGGCAUCUUGCUUUUCCAGACGCGUCAGCACCCGUCACACGUAAACUCAGCUCUGCGGAAAUCACGGGCAAUUUGUCGAAGUGCCGAUCCUAGAUAUCGAAGAGGCGCUAGUCUUUUUCAACCUCGUGAACACCUGUCACAUGCACACUCAGCUUGGUGAAAAUUACGGACAAUUUGUCGAAGAUUUCUGAUAAAGAAGAAAGCACGUGAAGCCAUACUGAUCAAUCACUCAAUGGUUGCCGACACGAGUGAAAGAAUAGUACCUCUACAGGGAUUAAAGGACUUCCUAUAACUGUCCACCUUCACCCUUCAUAGCAAGGCAGACAUACAGAACCUUUCUUCAUAAAAAAAAAAAAAUGCUUUCCUAACGAAGCCUCUCAAGUCACCCAGUGUUCCUUAUUCCUUGGGGUACCUCUGCAAGCAAAUGACUCCAAAGCAAAAGUAUCUCAUAUCACCAGGGUAGAAAGCAAGAGUAUCUCAUAUCAUACUUUGCCUGUCCUUUCCUUUGUCCUUAUUCUUACCUACAAAGACAAGGAUAAAGAAAACAAUAUGCCGGAACCUCCACUCAAACUCGAGUAAGGAACCGACUGCUUGGAACCCUUCCCUGAUUGCCUAGCUAGCACUGCUCUCGAGUACUCAUCUCCCACUGUUGCUGUACUUCCAAAGAAGCUGCCACAUCUGCCUGAAGAACAGAUAAGGCAAGUGAAAAUGAUACCUUGCAGCACGUGGAGACAACGUGCAGAAGAAACAAGCAGAGAAGAAUGCAGCCUGCACAGUCAACUCAACAGAAGGAGUCUGAGAUGAGGAACUCGAGAAGAUGCCACAUCUGCCUGAGGAACAGAUAAAGGAAAUGAAAAUGAUACCUUGAAGCAUAUGGAGACAAGUGCAACAAAGCACGUGCUGAUUCAUCCGCUACUUCUUCAAAAUCAAAAGUAUCUCAUAUCAUCAGGGUUGCAAUCACUCUGGGUAGUGGACUCGUUUUGACCCUCAAAUUCUUGGGUCGACUCGCUAGGCGUUAUGGGCUGCACGUGCCGAUUCACCACCCUUAAAUCAAAUCCUUAAAGAUCAAGUCACCAACUGGAAAAAGAGCCCAUCAAUCUUGAAGAUCAUACCAUUGACCAAACUGCUCAGGUGUGAAUUAGAAAGAUUGAACAAGGCAACAAGUCGUCACCUUCACCUCGUGCCUGCUUGCCAUGUGUUCGAGUCAACCUUCAAGAAUCAAGCCUUAACGGCCCUUGAAGAAGCUUCCAGCCAAAUUCAAGAUCAAGCCUCGACGGCCCUUGAGGAAAUCACAAGUCCGAUUCAAGAUCAAACGUCCACCAUAUUUGAAUCAAAUCCAGUUCAAGAAUAAGCUGUGGAAAAUCAACAAUCGGAGGAAUCCAGAAAAUCCUCCAACCCAGUUCAAGAUCAAAGCUAUGGAAAGUCAACAAGUGCAACAAAAUACGUGCCGAUUCAUCCACUACCAAAGCCAAAGAUCAUCUACCACAUGAAGCUCCUUAUGGUCCAAUUUCAACCUUCAAGAUCAAGCCUCGACAACCCUUGAAGAAAUCUCCAACCUAAUUCAAGAUCAAGCCUCAACGGCCCUUGAAAAAAUCUCCAGCCCAAUUCAAGAUCAAGCCUCGACUGCCCUUGGAUCGACAUCUACAUUAAGGGACUUCAAAACGCAUCUCCUACAUGUGACAAUCACAUGUAUACGACGCGCCUUGAAGUGGGGGCAUUUGUAGACAUCGAAAUUUCGGUAAAUAAAUGUUGACCGAUAAAUCAAAGUUUCAACACUCAUGUAUUACAUAAAUUUUACACGUAGCGUGUGUCUAAACAAAAAAUCGAAAUAAGUUGGAAAAGUCAUCAAACAGGACACGUGUCAACACCUGGCAGAAACGACUUAUUUCAUCUGAAAUAUUAUAUUCAAAAUUAGGCCUUGGAAAUUUCUAUAAAUAGAAGGCUAAUUCAUUCAUUUAGGGGAACCAAAAUCAUUAGGCAAAAUUCUUGAAGCUCUGAAGCUCUGAAACUCCGAAGCUCUCAAGCAUCCAGGUUCCCGAAGAAUCAAGAAAGCCUUCUUCGUUCUUCGUUCAUCGUUCAUCCUAAGAUCAAGCCCAAACGGCCUUUUGGAUCAACAAUCAUCCACCAAUUCAAGAUCAAGCCCCGACGGCCCUUGAAGAAAGUGUUCUUCGUUCUUCGUUCAUCGUUCUUCCAAGAUCAAGC